rnacentral:rRNA from 1 species
GUGUCAGCAGCCGCGGUAAGACGAAGGAUGCAAGCGUUAUCCGGAUUCAUUGGGUUUAAAGGGAGCGUAGGCGGACUUGUAAGUCAGUGGUGAAAUCUGUGGGCUUAACCCAUAAACUGCCAUUGAUACUGCAGGUCUAGAGUACAGUUGCCGUUGGCGGAAUAUGACGUGUAGUGGUGAAAUACUUAGAUAUGUCAUAGAACACCGAUUGCGAAGGCAGCUAACGAAGCUGUAACUGACGCUGAGGCUCGAAAGUGCGGGGAUCAAACAGGAUUAGAUACCCUGGUAGUCCGCACUGUAAACGAUGAUUACUCGUUGCUGGGGAGCAAUUUCCAGUGACCAAGCGAAAGCGAUAAGUAAUCCACCUGGGGAGUACGCCGGCAACGGUGAAACUCAAAGGAAUUGACGG